CUCAAUCCCAAAAUCUUCAGAGCCAAAAAGAUGGCGAUUGCAAAGCUUCGAAGCACUCAAGCGAUCUCAGAUGGAAGCAAUGGAGGCCUGCGAAUCAUAUUUUUCUACAGAUUCUUCAUGUCUGCUGUCGCUAUCAUCUCGAUUUUGAUAUUUGCUACUCUCUUUCUCUUUUCUUCUUCAUUGAUAACCAAUUCAGUAGAUGUCAAGUUGGGUGUGGUUUCUUCUCGUUUUAAUGGCAUCCACUCUAUUCGGAGAUCUGUGCUUGCCGUGAAGUCAGAUCCCUUGAAACCGCGUGUGGAUUCGAUCUAGAAGCAAGCUGAUGACCAUAGAUCUCUAGCCCUCGCUUAUGAUUCGUUUGCGCGAAAGUUGAAGCUCAAGAACUCAAAGCUUGUAAGGCCUUUUGCUGAUCUAACUCAUAAUUAUAUAGAUUUGUUGUCUAUAUUGUCUUACUGGUCUUUGUUCGUUUUCGAUGAUGUUUCGAUUGAUGAGUAUACACUUCGCCAGUUCGAGAAGGAGGUGAAGGAACGGAUCAGACUCGAUAACCAGCUGAAGAUUCAGAAGCUUAAAGACACUAUUUUUGCUGUCAAUGAGCACCUCACCAAGGCUAAGAAACAGGGGGCUUUCUCGAGCUUGAUUGCUGCGAAAUCGAUUCCCAAAAGCUUGUGAUUUCUUCAAGUAGCAGCUCCCUCUCCAAUUGUUGGCGUGUGGAUUUCAUCACAGACUAACAGGAGUUUCAAAUCAAGAUAAAAGGAUCAGACUUACAAACAAUCAAUUGAGGUAAAGAAAACAAAGAAAGUGAGAUUACUAUCAUUUUUCGAGGAACUCUUGGACUGAAGAUUCACGAUCUUCUGGGUUCUUGGACGCGGAACAACACCAAGAGUUGUCAGGGGUGAUGAUGGUGGGAGCUCUUGGAGAAUCACGUUUAUGGAGGUGGAGAGUGAAAUCUCCGGUAGAGGAGGAGGAGUGGUCCGGGGAGUUGGGGAGAUUCAGAUAAAGAAAACGAAAGAGAAAGAAGAUAGAGAGGGAAGAGAUAUUAGAGUUCACCUUUUGCAAUUGCAAGAGUAUUUUGGUAUUUAAAAAAAAUAUAUAAUAGCUAACAUUAGCAUAUGAUGUAUAUUCUGUUACAAUGACUGACUGUAGAGGGUCUGAGUAUAAUUUGGUAUUAUGUAAAUGGUGUUUCUCUAAUAAUGACAUUUUCUAGGGGGUGGCGUUAUAAAUUACCCAAAAAUAAAUGAUUAUUGAUAUGACAAAAAUUGACCAGUCGUUCUUCCUUGCAGCUCUUGACGCUUCAGCAGGUAUGCACAGAAGAGAAGAUAGGGGAGAGCUGAGCUGACUUGACGGGGGACUCUCAGAUGCCUAAGUCAGAUCUUUCCACAGCAGAUACUCAAGAGAGUUUUCAGUCAAAAGAAGUGAUCGAUCCCCUUGUGGGGGAGUUUACCUUGGUAUUUAUAGGCUGCUCAUGGAGGGAGGAAAGGAGACGUUCGUGGAGAGUUCUGUUAGACGUGGAGUCCUUGAGAGGAAUGACUCUCUGAUGCUAGGAAUCCAGAUCCUAGGGCACACUUUGGGAAUAUUCCCCUCUUAUCUCGGAGGUGCAAGUCGUGGGAGCGGUGGAUGACUCUGAUGACGUGUAAUGGAUAGAGUCCUACCCUUGUGAUUAGGAGUUACGUUCUUUGAAUGUAGGAGUGAAUGAGUGUACGUUUCCGGGAGCCUUACUUGAUGAUGCCGAGCCGAGGUGGUUGCUCGGCCUGAGAAGAGGCCGAGGUGGCAGAUCGGCAUUCGUUGUUCAAACGCUGCUUGGCCAUGCUGUGGUCAGGGAUAUAUUUACCCUCAUCAAUUAUGAUAUUAUAAAUUGAUGAAUUGAUUAUCCAUUUUUUACAAUAUUAGUGAAAAUAUUUUUGUUUUAAAGAUAACUAUUACAAAUCAAUGAAUAUGAGGUAUGAAUCGGGAAAUUGACUUGUAAA